UUCUUUUUCUCUUUUUCCCCUUUUCUCUCCUGAUUGCACGCCCAUCUCUCUUUUCCUUUUCUUUCUUCUUUUUCCCUUCUUUUCUCUACCUCACCUCUCUGUUCCCACGCAUCUCUGUAGCUCUCUCCCCAUUUCUUCUCUUCUACUCUUCUUUCUCUCCUCUUUCUUCUCCUCCAUCCCGUGCAGCAGCUUCUUCCCGCUCCUUUCUCUCACAUUUUUCCCCUUCUCUUCGGUGCACUGAGUCACCGUGAAAGUGAGAUCGUGGGAGACCACAGCUGUGGUGCGGUGGUCAGGCCACCGGCGUUUUGAGUGGGUAGCAGCUGAGCCGUGAUUUCCGGCCUUUUUGGGCAAAGAUCAGUCCAUAGUUUUGCUCCCUUAGCUCGUUAAUGUCCAACAAAAAUCCAGCAAGAGAGAGAUACCGAGAGAAAUCUGCAGAAAUUGAGGGAAAGCCCGAAAUGUGAGAUGCUGUCCGGCCAUGAGAGACGAAGAAGGGAAGGAGAAGCAACGGUUCAUGGGUUCCGGCCAUGGGCCUUUGUGGGAUGAUGUUUCUUUGGCUGCAGGUAUUCCGGUCGUAGUAUAUGGUGUUGUAGAAGUAUACUGAGGAUAUUAUGACUGAAGCUCAACGCGACGGUUGUAAUGUGUUAGACCGCGGGAUGUCUAUUCCUUUAGGUAUUUUGAUUAUGGCUUGUGACGCUUGUGCCACAUGAUCUUUGUUAAGCCAUUUAUGUGAUGUAUUUAAUUCGAGGAAAGAUUUAAUCAUAUAGUUAUUUAAUGGCUCUUUGUUGUAAUUAUUUGUGAUAGAUGUAUAAGAUGUGAUUUCCGCUAUUAGGUUA